UCGAGCGUCAUUAUCACCCCCUCAAGCCCCUGUGCUUGGUGUUGGACGGCUUGGUGGAGCGAGUUCACACUUUCCACCCCUCCUAAAGACAAUGACGGCGGCCUGCGGAACCCCCGGUACACUGAGCUUCUUUAUUGAGCACGUAUCGGAUGAAGGGUGCCCGGGACCCGGUCUUCUCCCUCACGGGAACACUUUUUUUUUAAGGUUGACC
rnacentral:misc_RNA from 1 species